GGGCCUGUAGCUCAGUUGGUUAGAGCAGGGGUCUCAUAAACCCUUGGUCGCCGGUUCAAGUCCGGCCGGGCCCACCA
rnacentral:tRNA from 1 species